UGUUGGAAAGCAAAGGGCUGGAACGUCCCGGGCUGCGGAGCUCGCUGGGUUGGGAUGGACUCGUUCAGACCUGAGUGCUAGGACGCCGAAGGGGGCGGUGAGGCGUCCCGGCGAGGAGCUGGGGUCGUCUGGAGUUUAAAAGACAGGUGGCUCUCGGAGAUGUGCGGGCUGCAUGCCCACGCUUCACCGCUAGGGGAGGUCAGGGCUGUGCGAUGGGGAAGGAAGAGAGUGUCGGGGCGGUGCAGUCGGGAUGGGAGAAGGGUGUCAGGGCCACUGGCCCCCAGCUCGGCAGAGGGCAGUGUCGGGCCGCGCGCAGGCAGGGAGUGGGUGUGGUGUGAGGCUGGCGCUGGAGCGGUCUGGGAAUGUUAGGAGGUCUAGGGUAUCGCGGCCCUGCGUCCUCUUGUCUGGACUAAAAGUCCGGGCAGUUCUCCCCGGACCUGGAUUGUGGGCCCAGCGACAGGUGCUUGGCGAUCUGUGCCCGCUGUGCCUGCGGGGCUGUGGUGGGAGUCCUGUCUGCACGGUAUUCUGUGUGGCUGUGCAUAACCCAGAAGAGGAGAGAACUGCUGUGCGUCUGAAGUGAUGGCGGAGAUGGAGUUUUGCCCUUGUUGCCCAGGCUGGAGUGCAAUGGCGCGAUCUCAGCUCACCGCAACCUCUGCCUCCCGAGUUGAAGUGAUUCUCCUGCCUCAGCCUCCCGAGUAGCUGGGAUUACAGGCAUGUGUCACCACACCCAGCUAAUUUAGUGUUUUUUAUAGAGACGGGGUUUCUCCAUGUUGGUCAGGCUGGUCUCAAACUCCCGACCUCAGGUGAUCCGCCUGCCUUGGCCUCCCAAAGUGCUGGGAUUACAGGUGUGAACCACCGCACCUGGCCUUUAACUGUCUUUUUAAAACUGCUUUUUAUUAAAUAUUGAAUAGUAGAACAUGUGUAAUAUAUUAAGGGGGACUGAACACCCAUGUUAAGAGGUAGAAUGCUAAUGUUAGAAAUCCCAUGUGUGCUUUGAUCUUCCCAAUCUAAAUCCCCUUCUUUAGCUGUCAGAGGUAUCUGUUAUUCCGAAUCUUGUGUUUGGCAUUUCCUUGUUUUUCUUUACAGUCUUAACCAUAUGUGUUUAUUUUCCUGUUCUAAUUUGAUGUCAAGAAAUCAUACUGUUUGGAUUUUUCUGCAACUCUAUUACUUGUCCUCCAACGAGUGUUCAAGAGAUCCAUUCACAUUGCAAACUUAUCCUACUGUAUAGCCAUCCAUUGUAAGAAUACAUUUUUUCAUUUAUAUUGUGUACAUUACUCCAGUGAACAUUCUUGAACUCCUCUUUUUGUAUCCUGUGCAAGAAUUUCUGUAUGUAACUAAAAAAGGAAUUGCUAGCUCAUAGGUUAUAUGCAUUUUCAGCCUUACUCAACAUUGCCCAGUUGUUUUCUAAAGUGUUUAUUAUACUCAUUUACUAUUCCUUUUACUUCGUAUCCUCACCAACACUUGGUAUUAUUAAAUUUUAAAUUUUUACGCACUUGGGUAUGAGUUGAUAUGUAUUAUUUUGAUUUCAAAUUUGCAUAUUUUGGUACUAAAUGAGGUUGAGCCCCCCACCCCCGCAACUUUCAUGCUCAUUGGCAUUCAUGUUUUCUCUUUUCUGAAGUACAAUUUUAUGUCAUUUCUAAUUUUUCUAUUGAUUUUUAUAUUUCCAGAGUUUUUGUUCCUUUUAAUGCUUUGUAUGCAUUUCUUAAAUAUUGUGGAUUGUCGUCCUUGCCGGUUAUAUGUGCUGUGCAUGCUUUCUUACUUUAACCUUUAAAUGAUGGUAGAUAUUCUCAAUUUUAAUGCCUUCAAAUUUAAUGCUGUUUUCUUUAAUUUAUUUACAUCUUGUGUAUGAAAUCUCUCCUCUCCUAAGAGUAAAGAUAUUAUCCCUAUUUUCUAUAAAUGAUA
rnacentral:lncRNA from 1 species